UUGCAGGGUUUUAAGAUCAGGUCCUGAG
rnacentral:piRNA from 1 species